ACUAGUUGGAUCUGGUGUGUUGGAGUAGGGUUGAAUCUAAAGUCUGCAGGACUCCGGCCCUCCAGGAAUUCAGUUUGACAUCCC